rnacentral:rRNA from 1 species
UACAGAGGAGCCAAGCGUUGUCCGGAUUGACUGGGCGUAAAGCGCACGCAGGCGGCACCGCGCGUGGGGUGUGAAAUCUGGCCGCUUAACGGCCAGACGCCACCUCAUACGGCACGGCUCGAGCCCGUGAGAGGUCCACGGAAUUGCCAGUGUAGUGGUGAAAUGCGUAGAGAUCGGCAGGAACACCCAGGGGGAAACCGAGUGGACUGGCACGGUGCUGACGCUCAGGUGCGAAAGCGUGGGGAGCGAACCGG